GACGAACGCUGGCGGCGUGCUUAACACAUGCAAGUCGAACGGAGUGGCGAACGGGUGAGUAACACGUGGGUGACCUGCCCUGCAACUCGGGCUAAGCCUGGGAAACUGAGUCUAAAACAGGUUCGUGUGGGAUGGGCCCGCGGCCAAUCAGCUUGUUGGUGGGGUAAUGGCCUACCAAGUCGGCGACGGGUAGCCGGCCUGAGAGGGUGGACGGCCACAGUGGGACUGAGACACGGCCCAGACUCGUACGGGAGGCAGUAGUGGGGAAUAUUGCACAAUGGGCGGAAGCCUGAUGCCGCGACGCCGCGUGGGGGAUGACGGCCUUCGGGUUGUAAACUCCUUUCACCAUCGACGCGGUAGAUGGAGAAGAAGCACCGGCUAACUACGUGCCAGCAGCCGCGGUAAUUC
rnacentral:rRNA from 1 species